rnacentral:tRNA from 1 species
GGAAGUGUGCCAGAGUGGACGAAUGGACCGCACUCGAAAUGCGGGGUGCUCGCAAGGGCACCGGGGGUUCGAAUCCUCCCACUUCCGCAA